UACAGAGGGUGCAAGCGUUUGUUCGGGAAUUAUUGGGCGUAAAGAGCUCGUAGGCGGCUUGUCGCGUCGGAUGUGAAAGCCCGGGGCUUAACUCCGGGUCUGCAUUCGAUACGGGCAGGCUAGAGUUCGGUAGGGGAGAUCGGAAUUCCUGGUGUAGCGGUGAAAUGCGCAGACUAUCAGGAGGAACACCGGUGGCGAAGGCGGAUCUCUGGGCCGAUACUGACGCUGAGGAGCGAAAGCGUGGGGAGCGAACAGG
rnacentral:rRNA from 1 species